GUGAGGAAUAUUGCGCAAUGGAGGCAACUCUGACGCAGCCAUGCCGCGUGCAGGAAGAAGGCGCUACGCGUUGUAAACUGCUUUUAACCGGGAAGAAACCCCAGGACGUGUCCUGGGUUGACGGUACCGGAGGAAUAAGCACCGGCUAACUUCGUGCCAGCAGCCGCGGUAAUACGAAGGGUGCAAGCGUUAUCCGGAUUCAUUGGGUUUAAAGGGUGCGUAGGCGGAGCGUUAAGUCAGUGGUGAAAUCCUGCAGCUUAACUGUAGACUUGCCGUUGAUACUGGCGCUCUUGAGUGCGCUUGAAGUGGGCGGAAUGUGCCGUGUAGCGGUGAAAUGCUUAGAUAUGGCACAGAACACCAAUUGCGAAGGCAGCUCACUAAGGCGAUACUGACGCUGAGGCACGAAAGCGUGGGGAUCGAACAGGAUUAGAUACCCGAGUAGUCC
rnacentral:rRNA from 1 species